GACGUAGGGGGCCAGCGUUGUUCGGAAUUACUGGGCGUAAAGGGUUCGUAGGCGGUGUGGCAAGUCGGGCGUGAAAUCUCUGGGCUCAACUCAGAGGCUGCUUCCGAAACUGCUGUGCUGGAGUGUGGGAGAGGCGCGUGGAAUUGCAGGUGUAGCGGUGAAAUGCGUAGAUAUCUGCAGGAACACCCGUGGCGAAAGCGGCGCGCUGGACCACUACUGACGCUGAGGAACGAAAGCGAGGGGAGCAAACAGG
rnacentral:rRNA from 1 species